rnacentral:rRNA from 1 species
CAUGGUUGUCGUCAGCUCGUGUCGUGAGAUGUUGGGUUAAGUCCCGCAACGAGCGCAACCCUUGCCAUUAGUUGCCAGCAGUAAGAUGGGCACUCUAGUGGGACUGCCGGGGACAACUCGGAGGAAGGUGGGGAUGACGUCAAAUCAUCAUGCCCCUUAUGUUCUGGGCUACACACGUGCUACAAUGGCCGGUACAGAAAGCAGCGAAGUCGUGAGGCGGAGCAAAUCUCGAAAACCGGUCCCAGUUCGGACUGCAGGCUGCAACUCGCCUGCACGAAGCCGGAGUUGCUAGUAAUCGCGGAUCAGAAUGCCGCGGUGAAUGCGUUCCCGGGUCUUGUACACACCGCCCGUCACACCAUGGAAGUUGGGGGUGCCCAAAGCCGGCAAGGAAAUAUGCUGUCUAAGGCAAAACCAAUGACUGGGGUGAAGUCGUAACAAGGUAGCCGUAUCGGAAGGUGCGGCUGGAUCACCUC